rnacentral:rRNA from 1 species
AUUGAACGCUGGCGGCAUGCCUUACACAUGCAAGUCGAACGGCAGCACGGAGCUUGCUCUGGUGGCGAGUGGCGAACGGGUGAGUAAUAUAUCGGAACGUACCCAAGAGUGGGGGAUAACGUAGCGAAAGUUACGCUAAUACCGCAUACGAUCUAAGGAUGAAAGCAGGGGACCUUCGGGCCUUGUGCUCCUGGAGCGGCCGAUAUCUGAUUAGCUAGUUGGUGAGGUAAAGGCUCACCAAGGCAUCGAUCAGUAGCUGGUCUGAGAGGACGACCAGCCACACUGGAACUGAGACACGGUCCAGACUCCUACGGGAGGCAGCAGUGGGGAAUUUUGGACAAUGGGGGCAACCCUGAUCCAGCAAUGCCGCGUGAGUGAAGAAGGCCUUCGGGUUGUAAAGCUCUUUUGUCAGGGAAGAAACGGUGAAGGCUAAUAUCCUUUGCUAAUGACGGUACCUGAAGAAUAAGCACCGGCUAACUACGUGCCAGCAGCCGCCGUAA